UAUAAACCCGCAGGGCAGGCCUCCUCUGUGCAGAGGGAGGAAUGGAGCCUCAGCCAAGCCUGAACUCCUGACCUUCUUCACACACCAAGCGUCUGUUGUGGGCUUCGGGAGGUGCAAGAUGGGUCACAGCAAACCGUGAGGCAACUGGGASAGAAUGAGGGAGAGAGGGGAGCUGAGAGUGGUUGACGGCCAGGGGAUAGUAGGAAGGGGGAGACAAUGAAACGAGAAUUUCCAUGGCUGACCUGCGAUUCACCCUGACCUCCACACCGUCCCAAACCACAGACAGUGAGGAUGAGGGUGGGUUGUGUGCCCAGGAUCCAAGGUGGCGGUCGAUGCCUGAGUGUCUCAGGCCAGAAUUUGAGUCCUGCAGGCAGGGCUCACCGAGCGAAUCUCUCUGUUCCAGAAACACACAUCGCUGUGGUGUGAGACUCGUGCUUCUCUCCAGUUUUCUCAUGAACCUCAUUUGACACAGUCACAUUGCUGACCUCUGCAUCUGUUAUCUGGCAAGCAGAACUCACAGUUCAUGUGAAUCAGAUGUUACAAAGAGAAG